rnacentral:RNase_MRP_RNA from 1 species
UGAGUUUUUCAUGCUUGUCUCUCGGGGUCACAAACGAGUUCCUGGUAACUCUCUCGAUCAAUGCCCUGGGUAAAGUCCCCGGGCCUAGGAUAGAAAGUAUCAAGGUGUAAAAUCGCAUGUGUUCUUGCCUGCCUCUCUAGAGAAAGGCGCACAUUCGCCUAUAUUCCGCGGAACUGCGCCUUGCAUAUGAUGAAGAGGGAUCCGCAAGGAUCUCGAAUUGUUACGUUCGGUAGUCUGCGGAAAUCUGCCAGAGUCUCACCUAAGAUAUGGACGAGCUGGUUGGCAUUCACCAUGGGUUUACGCUGGGGUUUGUCGCCUACACAGAAUGGGGCUUACAUUGAGAAAUUC